rnacentral:tRNA from 1 species
CCUAAGCUAGUUUAAGGCAAAACGCCUUUUUGUGGUGAAGGAGAUGAUGGGUAUCUGUCGAUUAGGA